GACGAACGCUGGCGGCGUGCUUCAUACAUGCCAGUCGAACGAGAAGCUGACUUCGGUCAGUGGAAAGUGGCGGACGGGUGAGUAAUAUGUAGGAAAUCUGCCUUUAGGAGGGGGACAACAGAGGGAAACUUCUGCUAAUACCCCAUAUGAGCGUAGCUGAAAUGCUAUUCUUGAAAACUCCGGUGCCUAAAGAUGAGCCUGCAUCUGAUUAGCUAGUUGGUAGUGUAAUGGACUACCAAGGCGACGAUCAGUAGCUGGUUUGAGAGGAUGAUCAGCCACAAUGGGACUGAGACACGGCCCAUACUCCUACGGGAGGCAGCAGUAGGGAAUUUUGCGCAAUGGGCGAAAGACUGACGCAGCAACGCCGCGUGAACGAUUAAGCCCUUCGGGGUGUAAAGUUCUGUCAGUGGGGACGAAACUUGACGGUACCCACAGAGGAAGCACCGGCUAACUCCGUG
rnacentral:rRNA from 1 species